rnacentral:rRNA from 2 species
GGGUUGUGAGGUUAAGCGACUAAGCGUACACGGUGGAUGCCCUGGCAGUCAGAGGCGAUGAAGGACGUGCUAAUCUGCGAAAAGCGUCGGUAAGGUGAUAUGAACCGUUAUAACCGGCGAUGUCCGAAUGGGGAAACCCAGUGCAAUUCGUUGCACUAUCGUUAACUGAAUACAUAGGUUAACGAGGCGAACCGGGGGAACUGAAACAUCUAAGUACCCCGAGGAAAAGAAAUCAACCGAGAUUCCCCCAGUAGCGGCGAGCGAACGGGGAGCAGCCCAGAGUCUGAAUCAGCUUGUGUGUUAGUGGAACGGUCUGGAAAGUCCGACGGUACAGGGUGAUAGUCCCGUACACCAAAAUGCACAGGUUGUGAACUCGAAGAGUAGGGCGGGACACGUGGUAUCCUGUCUGAAUAUGGGGGGACCAUCCUCCAAGGCUAAAUACUCCUGACUGACCGAUAGUGAACCAGUACCGUGAGGGAAAGGCGAAAAGAACCCCGGCGAGGGGAGUGAAAAAGAACCUGAAACCGUGUACGUACAAGCAGUGGGAGCACCUUCGGGUGUGACUGCGUACCUUUUGUAUAAUGGGUCAGCGACUUAUAUUCUGUAGCAAGGUUAACCGUAUAGGGGAGCCGCAGGGAAACCGAGUCUUAACUGGGCGUUAAGUUGCAGGGUAUAGACCCGAAACCCGGUGAUCUAGCCAUGGGCAGGUUGAAGGUUGGGUAACACUAACUGGAGGACCGAACCGACUAAUGUUGAAAAAUUAGCGGAUGACUUGUGGCUGGGGGUGAAAGGCCAAUCAAACCGGGAGAUAGCUGGUUCUCCCCGAAAGCUAUUUAGGUAGCGCCUCGUGAACUCAUCUUCGGGGGUAGAGCACUGUUUCGGCUAGGGGGUCAUCCCGACUUACCAACCCGAUGCAAACUACGAAUACCGAAGAAUGUUAUCACGGGAGACACACGGCGGGUGCUAACGUCCGUCGUGAAGAGGGAAACAACCCAGACCGCCAGCUAAGGUCCCAAAGUCAUGGUUAAGUGGGAAACGAUGUGGGAAGGCACAGACAGCCAGGAUGUUGGCUUAGAAGCAGCCAUCAUUUAAAGAAAGCGUAAUAGCUCACUGGUCGAGUCGGCCUGCGCGGAAGAUGUAACGGGGCUAAACCAUGCACCGAAGCUGCGGCAGCGACACUAUGUGUUGUUGGGUAGGGGAGCGUUCUGUAAGCCUGCGAAGGUGUGCUGUGAGGCAUGCUGGAGGUAUCAGAAGUGCGAAUGCUGACAUAAGUAACGAUAAAGCGGGUGAAAAGCCCGCUCGCCGGAAGACCAAGGGUUCCUGUCCAACGUUAAUCGGGGCAGGGUGAGUCGACCCCUAAGGCGAGGCCGAAAGGCGUAGUCGAUGGGAAACAGGUUAAUAUUCCUGUACUUGGUGUUACUGCGAAGGGGGGACGGAGAAGGCUAUGUUAGCCGGGCGACGGUUGUCCCGGUUUAAGCAUGUAGGCUGAUUGUCCAGGCAAAUCCGGAUAAUCAAGGCUGAGGUGUGAUGACGAGGCACUACGGUGCUGAAGUAACAAAUGCCCUGCUUCCAGGAAAAGCCUCUAAGCAUCAGGUAACAUCAAAUCGUACCCCAAACCGACACAGGUGGUCAGGUAGAGAAUACCAAGGCGCUUGAGAGAACUCGGGUGAAGGAACUAGGCAAAAUGGUGCCGUAACUUCGGGAGAAGGCACGCUGGUGUGUAGGUGAAGUCCCUGCGGAUGGAGCUGAGACCAGUCGAAGAUACCAGCUGGCUGCAACUGUUUAUUAAAAACACAGCACUGUGCAAACACGAAAGUGGACGUAUACGGUGUGACGCCUGCCCGGUGCCGGAAGGUUAAUUGAUGGGGUUAUCCGUAAGGAGAAGCUCUUGAUCGAAGCCCCGGUAAACGGCGGCCGUAACUAUAACGGUCCUAAGGUAGCGAAAUUCCUUGUCGGGUAAGUUCCGACCUGCACGAAUGGCGUAAUGAUGGCCAGGCUGUCUCCACCCGAGACUCAGUGAAAUUGAACUCGCUGUGAAGAUGCAGUGUACCCGCGGCAAGACGGAAAGACCCCGUGAACCUUUACUAUAGCUUGACACUGAACAUUGAGCCUUGAUGUGUAGGAUAGGUGGGAGGCUUUGAAGCGUGGACGCCAGUCUGCGUGGAGCCAACCUUGAAAUACCACCCUUUAAUGUUUGAUGUUCUAACGUUGGCCCCUGACCGGGGUUGCGGACAGUGUCUGGUGGGUAGUUUGACUGGGGCGGUCUCCUCCCAAAGCGUAACGGAGGAGCACGAAGGUUAGCUAAUCCUGGUCGGACAUCAGGAGGUUAGUGCAAUGGCAUAAGCUAGCUUGACUGCGAGCGUGACGGCGCGAGCAGGUGCGAAAGCAGGUCAUAGUGAUCCGGUGGUUCUGAAUGGAAGGGCCAUCGCUCAACGGAUAAAAGGUACUCCGGGGAUAACAGGCUGAUACCGCCCAAGAGUUCAUAUCGACGGCGGUGUUUGGCACCUCGAUGUCGGCUCAUCACAUCCUGGGGCUGAAGUAGGUCCCAAGGGUAUGGCUGUUCGCCAUUUAAAGUGGUACGCGAGCUGGGUUUAGAACGUCGUGAGACAGUUCGGUCCCUAUCUGCCGUGGGCGCUGGAGAAUUGAGGGGGGCUGCUCCUAGUACGAGAGGACCGGAGUGGACGCAUCACUGGUGUUCGGGUUGUCAUGCCAAUGGCACUGCCCGGUAGCUAAAUGCGGAAGAGAUAAGUGCUGAAAGCAUCUAAGCACGAAACUUGCCCCGAGAUGAGUUCUCCCUGAGACUUUAAGUCUCCUGAAGGAACGUUGAAGACGACGACGUUGAUAGGCCGGGUGUGUAAGCGCAGCGAUGCGUUGAGCUAACCGGUACUAAUGAACCGUGAGGCUUAACCUUACAACGCCGAAG